rnacentral:lncRNA from 1 species
UUGGUUAGGGUUUAAUUUAGGAUUAGGAUUUGGUUAGGGUUUGGUCUAGGAUUAAGGAUUAGUGUUAGGAUUUGGUAAAGAUUUGAUUUAGGAUUAGAAUUUCGUUAGGAUUUGAUUAAGAUUUGAUUUAGGAUUAGAAUUUGGUUUAGAAUUUAGGAUUUUGUUAGGAUUUGAUUUGAGAUUAGGGUUAGGUUAAGAUUUGAUUUAGGAUUUAGGAUUUGGUUAGGAUUUAAUUUAGGAUUAGGAUUUAGUUAGGAUUUGGUUUAGGAUUUAGGGUUUGAUUUAGGAUUGGUUAGGAUUUGAUUUAGGGUUAGGAUUUGGUUAAGGUUUGAUUUAAGGUUAAGGUUUGGUAAGAGUUUGGUUUAGGAUUUAGAAUUUGGUUAGGAUUUGAUUUAGGAUUAGGAUUUGGUUUAGGAUUUAGGAUCUUAUUAGGAUUUGAUUUUGGAUUAGGAUUUGGUUUAGGAUUUAGGAUUUGAUUAAGAUUUGAUUUAGGAUUAGGAUUUGGUUUAGGAUUUAAGGUUUGGUUAGGAUUUGAUCAAGAUUUGAUUUAGGUUUUAGGAUUUUAUUUGAGUUUAUUUAAGAUUUAAGACUUAGUUAGUUUUAUUCCUAAAGUUUCAAUGAAGUCCAAUAAGAUUUCAAGUAGGAUUAAAUUAAGAUUGAAUUGAGAUGUAUUUGAGAUAUGUUUGUAAUCAUUCUAGUAAUUCUUUAAGAUUUCUUAUUGUUUCUUUGGAAUUCCUUUGAGGUUUCUCUGAAUUUGAUUAAAGUUUAUUUAGCAUUAUUAGUGUUCUAUUAGAAUUAGGAUUUUAUUGUUGGA